GAUUAUUUUAGACGAUUGUGCGUCUUCGAAUUUCGUUAAGGAUCGCACGGGUGAAUUGGUGAGGUUGGGAUUUAGUGGUCGUCAUCAAUCGAUUUCGACGAUCGUCAUCACGCAACAAUUAACAUCGAUCGCGAAACCAUUUCGCGAACAGAUUCAGAAAUUGGUGACGUUUUACAAUCCGAAUCGUAAGGAUAUGAAGAUUAUUUUAGACGAAUAUUUGGGGGAGAUGGACGAGGAAGAGAUGAAAAGGAUUCGUCGUAUUUUAAAGGAAACGAAGCAUGCAUGUUUGGAAGUGGAAUUAAUUCAUCCGUUUCGGUAUAAGAUAAAGAAAUGACUGAUAACUUACCGAACGAAGAAUUCAUG